AGGGACACCCGGGGAUGGGACACCCCAGGCUGGGACACCCCGGGCCGGGACCCCCCAAGCCGGGACCCCCCAAGCCGGGACCCCCCGGGCCGGGACCCCCGGGACCGUGCGGCGCAGCCGGGCUGAGGACGGGACCCAUAUAGAGCCUGGGGACAGCGCGGGCAGCGGCCACUAGGAGUGGCCGCGGCAGCCGGACGCCAGCGCAGAUUUUUUUAUUCCAUUUUCUAAGAUUUUGGGGCCGCCCAGAA